ensembl:lncRNA
AGCAGCUGAAGUUACUUCAGACUAGAGCAGAAGCUCAGACAUAAACUAUUUAUUCUACCAGUUUCCCACAACUCAGAUAUUAACAGAAUCUGAGGACAUGGUUAAUGAGUUUUGAAAUUCAUUCACUACAUCACUAAUCUUUUAGAAAUCCUAUAACCUUACCUGCCAUUUCCACAAUCAUGAGAGAACAUAGAUGAGAUUAGAACCAGGCCUCAGGCACUCCCUUCCUUUUUGCUAUUUAUUCACUUUUUUUUUUUUUGAGUAUUGGAACAAUUGAAAGACUGCAUGUUUUAAAAUUCCAUACAAGACUAAUGACUGAAUAAUUUUCUCACAUCUCUGUUUGCACUUUCACAGUCUGGUUGCAUUGAUUUGUGUCUCAUAAGUACACAUUUCCUUUGUUGGUCACAAAUCAAUGCUAUAGAACAAACCUGCCAGCAUACCCUGUACACAUAUUUUCUUGCAGAUUAAAAACAAAGCACAAUAUACAUUUUUCCUUUAAAAAUUAAUUACAUUUGUUGGUAAGAUAUCAAAGGAAAAGAAGCCUCCAGAGUUAAAAAUGCCUGGGAUAAAGAGCUUCUUCAAAGCUGGUCUCUACUUCUUUCACACUGCCUAGAGCACAGCACUGCCUAGUGGGAGAGUAGCGCUCCUCUGCCCUGCCCCUGAUGCGCUGUUAACCCAAUUCAGGUCCCUGCCUUCAUACAUCACAGGCUGCCCAAAGCAGCACACUGUGAUGUCACAGGCAGAUAUGAUUUCAUGCCAGGGAAAAAACAAAAAGGCAGAAAAGGCUGACUGUAUUCUGCUUUUAUUGAAAUACUCUAAGAGGGGGCAAAGAGGAGAUUUUUUUUUUUUCCCUGAGAGAAAAAGGCACAAGCUUUCUCCUGUGAAUGUGAAAACUCAGUUCUGAAGCUACCCCGGUGCUUCUACCCCAAGUGGAUAAGCAUGAAUAAAGCAGCACAAAGAAAUACUAUCAUCAAUCAGAAUGCUCUUGCCUACACUAAACUACAGCCAAUCGAUUUUGGCCUAGCUAUUGCUGACUGCAGUAGGUCCGUUUUAAUACACCACUGAUUAAAUGGUAUGUGCAUGGCUGAAGGCACUACAACCCGGACUGAGCAGAAGCUGCUGAGGGAGAAAGCUUGGGGACCAGAGUCAAGAGCUCCAAAAUGCCGACA